CUGUACUCACACCUGCAUAUGAGCUCUAAGAACAGUGUAGGGAUUUUGUGUAUCUUUGUAAAGUGAGGAAAGUUCUGAUGUAUUUCAGUUCCACAAAUCUGCUAUCAGUCUCCCGAGGGGUACUUAGUUGAAUGUUUGCUUCUUAAAGUGGCCAUGGCAGCUCAGGCCUGCUGUGCUAGCAACUGAAAGGCUGAAACGAAAGGUCCUUGAGUCCAGGGUAGGCCUGAGUUGCACAGAGAGCCUAUUUCGGAGAAGCCCCCACUUACCCACCCAUCCCCCAGAGCCCUAAGUCAAUCUCAUCAGCACACGGAUUUCUAAAUUUUGAUGUGUUGCUGAAACUCAUUUUAUGUGUGACUCAGUUUUCUUCAUACAAGAACCCUUUGCCUCAGCGUGUGACCUUCUCAAAGCUGCAAUUUGGGUUCUAUCACGUGCCCUCAAAACAGAGCCAGCCUACAAGGUGCUAGUGACUGACAGAGAAGUAACUGAUUUUGUGGGGGAGACAAAUGGAAAUGCUACAGAACACAACAGCCAGUAAUCUAGAAAGACCAAAAUUGUGCCUUCCUGCCUCUGAGUUCCUGUUGAGCCAAGGGCCUCUAUGUCUGUCUGUCUGUCUCUCUCUCUCACUCCCCCUCCCCCUCCAUCUCCAUCUCCAUCUCUGCCUCUAUUUCCAUUCUCCACCUCCAUCCACCUCCAUCUCAGUCUCCAUCUUCAUCUCCACCUUCACCUCCAUCCACCUCCACCUCUUCUCCGCCUCCAUCUCUGCACCCAGCUCUAUCAUCUCCAUCCUUGUCUCUGUCUUCAAUCUCACACAUUUUAUAACUCUGCUUACUUUGAGCUCCAGUCCCCUGUGGCAGGAUGGACAGAAGAGCUCAAAGAAUCUGUCUGCACUCACUUGUGCCGUCUGUGUCCCAGCCCCUUCCUGACAAUGCCCCUGCUCCUCAUCUUCAGACUCUUGCUCCCUGAACAAGUUUGCUCCCACAGUCCUCCCCAGAGGCAGCCCCACUUCCACCUCUGGCACUGAGCUUGCCUACCCCAAGCCUGAGUAGCUUCCUGCCUCUCUGGGCAGUCAACCCUCACCCCUCCUGUCCAGGCCAGCCCUGCUGGGGCCCCUGCCUGGCAGGACACGGCACCUGUAAUGACUAAAAAUAGGUGUUGCAUAAAAGAGCAGUGAGACCCAAAUGAUGUCUGAAGCAGGAAAUAUAAUGACCCUCCAAAAAUAUGGUCCUGGUGCUUCCCCAGGAGCCCAGCACUUGCUUCAAAGCCUCUGAACUAUCUUUAUUUUGCAUUCAAACUAUCUUUUGGGGCCAGGUUUCCUUCACAACACAGCUUAUUGCUAAACGGAUCUGAAGCCCUGGGGAGUUUAUCUGUAGUUAGGGUUUCUUUUUUUCUUCUUUCCAGUAACCAUGGGUCGGAGGUAUUCCAGCAAUUCUUAACUAAAGGACAACUCUGUUUCAUGACAUCUAAUCAGGGGGACAUCCCACUGGGAGGACAGAUUGUGUCCUUUUUCCCCACUCUGGGCUGAGGAGAUAAAGAGAUAAAACUCAUAGGUUGUUUUAUUUUCUGAAAAAUCAACAGUGUAGUCUUCUGGUGGAGGGAGGGGGAUCCUCACGUGAGCCUGUUAUGCAUAGAGGCUGAUGGGAGGCUGCCAGUGGGCUUGUGGGUGGAAAGGGUUGUGUCUACAGUGACUGCUCUUGUUCUGUUCUAAAAAACGCUCCUAUUUUGGACCAUCUGGAAUCCUGGUAGUUCAUAUGAAAAUGGAAAAAUUUGAGGGUGUACGCCUGUGCUUUCCAUGGGUGUCCUUAUUGGUAGGAUCUGGUUGUGUAGACCCUGAUUCCCUGAUGUCCUCUCUGCUCCAAUAUACUAGGCCGACCUCAGUUUGCAGCUGAGAAGGCCUGCAGUGAUGUGUCAGGUACCUCCUCAGACUCAUCCUCCUGCCACCAAAGCCGCGCCACGAAUGCCGGCGGCACAGUUCUCAGAGACUCUGCUGAGCCUUUGUGAAGGGCAAAGGAAGCUUCCAGCUUCAGCCAGAGGCAAAGCAUUGAGCUUUAUGGCUUCCUUUUCUAACCCCUUUAGCUGCCGCAGGGAUCUCUCCUGCUUGUCUCCGGCUUGUUCUACACUUGCUAAAGGCCCAGGGAUUAUCAGCAAAGGUCUGAGGAGUGAGCAGUCUUAGUUUGUCUUGGGAUUAGGUAGCAAUGGAAACUGUAGAUCCAUGGAAAGACAGCAGCUUGGAGGCCACCACCUGGCCCCAGCAGCGUUCUCUGGCUUCCAACUUUCUUCACGUUUGUUCUUUUGUCCACUCUGGUGCUCACAGUUUGUUUGGUCUCUGCCUCAUCUUCCUUCUUUUGCCUUUCAGUGUCCCUCUCAUUUAUUUUCCUUUCAGUGAUAAUGGUACAGAGGUUCUAGGAUGAGACUGAGGCCAAGAAAAGUUAAGGUGCUAUGGGGCCUUGGUUACAAUGCAACUGGGGUACCAACUUCCCCUUGGGGAGUCACAGUGGUUGCAGCAUCCAUACCCAGGAAGACUCAUUUCCACUGUCAGCUUGAGUGGGGUAUACUGAGGCACAGCGCUGGGAACAUUGUGUCCCAUGUGUCCGUGGGAACAUUACCAGGGAGGAUUAACUGAAAGGGGAAUGCCUGGCAGCAAGUGGCACAAUCCCAUGGGCUUGGGGCCUGAGCCAAACUGAGAAGGGGACAGUGAGUCAGGCACUACUACUAUUGUGCUGUACAGACAGCAAUGGAGGAAGCCCUCACAACUCUACCUUCCCCUUGGCAGACUGUGUCUGCAGAACCUUGAGUCCAAAUACCCCCUUCUCCUGUGGGCUGCUUGUACCUUGACUUUUCUUUAUCUAGGAUUUCUUCUCUUCCAACCAGCAGCUGACUCUAGCUCAGAGCUUAGGGCUUUCGCUUUUCUUCAUUAUUAUAUUCUGCUUUUUAGAAGAGGUUUCAUUAUGGCGUUUUUCAAGUGACAUUCUUUCCUUGCUGUUUGUCUCUCCCUCUUCUUCCCUGUGCCUUCCUCCUUGUGUCCUGUCACCCCCAGCAGCCCCCUUUCCACUUUCAUGUCACACAGGACCUUUUCCCUUCAACCUCUUGAUCCUCUCUUGUGGUCUGUGGUCCAGCGCCACAGUCCAGUCCCCUCUUAGAACCUAUGUUUACACGUGCACAGGCAUUGUGAUUUAGUACAUUCUGAGGAAGACACAAGGUAUUUGUCUUUCUGAGAUGGGGUCAUCUCACAAUGUAAUACUUUCUAGUAUUGUAUGUAAUAAAUUUCACUUUCUUGGAUUUUCAUAAUUUCGCUUUUCUUAACAGCCAAGUGAAAUUCCACUGUGUAUAUGUGUCACAUUUCCUUACCCGUCCUCCUGUUGAUGGACACCUAGGCUGGUUCUGCUUCCUGCCUAUUAUGAAUAGAGCAGCAAUAAACAUGGCCGAGCAAGUGUCUCUGCUGUAGAGUUUAGGGUGUGAGUUUCAGGCCCCCUGAGCAGACCUGUUUUCACUGUCCUGUCAGUGACAAUCACCCAGGUCCCUCUAUUGUCAUUCAGGGUUUGGCUUGUAGCAGGAGUGAGUGUCCAUUCUCCAAGCUGUGACACACAAGUUCUUUCCAUUCCCAUGAUCAUGAGGCUCUGUCAGAACUGUCGCCCAGGCUUUGGCAUUUCUGUAAGUGACCAGCAAUGGUGCAGCUCUCUGUAUUAUGUAUAACAUACCUCAUCUCUUACCUGCUGGUUUCAGGGGCAGGAAACACCUUCUGAUGGUCUCGGCCCAGGUCUGGCUGGAGCCACUUCUUGGUGAGCUUGGAGGAUGUGGACUUGGGUGAUGAAUCCGUGCCUGAGGACUUUUAGAAAAUUCAGCCAGCCACAGUGGCUAGCUCAUCCAGUCUCAGAGCUCAAGGGUUAUUGUAUGGAUGAGGUGAAUGAGCAUUGAAAGAUGCCUGGAAAACAGACAUUGUUAAAGAGACACAUGUCCCUGGAAUGGAAAUGACAAUAUUGACAUUGAAGAACAUCAGUGCCUCAAUGAUGGUUCCUUUUGCCUCUCAUGGGUGACCUAAGCACAGAGCAGGGGCUCCUGGUGGCAGGACCCAGUCAGCUUUAGGAAGCACUUGCGGCUUGAAGGCAGAAGACUCUGUGAUGACUCACAUUGCUUACAAGAACCUCGUGUCAAUGAUUCUAGUGCUUCCUACGGAUGAGAAGCUAGAGGCUUGGAGAGACCUUUAACCUGACAAAACCAUGCAGUGGGGCCAGGACCUAAAGCUGGUGUUGUCUCCAGCAGUCACAUGUGUGGUUGGUGUAACCAUCACGGCAUGUUCUGGUCUUCCUUUCCCUUCUCUAAGGUUUUACUGCAGUCAGUUGACCCCAUUGCCUUUGGCUCUGUGGAGAAGCAGGACGUGAUGGUGGCCUGGACGGCUCAUUUCAUGGUGGCAGGAAGCACAGAGAGCAAUGAGAAGGACACACUCCACUGGCUCAACUUUCUUCCAUUAGGCCCCACCUUCUUCAGACUGCUGCCUCCCAGCCAUGGCACAGGCUGGAUCCUUCGGGAACCUUCAGGCAGUGUGCAGCUUCUGCUCACACACAUCUCCUAGGAUGCUUUUAUUUGAGGGACCAUCCUCCUAGUGCAGGGUGCUCACACCCCUCCACUGUCAUUCCUCCUGAGGUAUUUUCUACAUAUCAUGUCCCUCCCACAGUCAGAGACAUACACAUCUAACCAAGGAAUCCUCCCUGGCAGGUUUUGGUGUGGUCUGAAACUUUCCCUUUGAAGAUGAAAGCAGCUGUGGUUCCAGAUGCUGAGCCUCCAGGGUCCUCAGCUCCACAAGGUGUCUUGUGUCUUGAAAUGCAGAUUUCUCAUAUGGGAACUUGAGGAAGGUUUGAAGACACAGUUGGUCAUUAGUGUCACCUGCGGUAAUGUGAUUAGCAUGAGUGGUUCAAGGCUGAGGGCGAUCUUUAAGAACACCAGCAGAUCCUCACAGCUGGAGGCCUGCUGUCCAGGAGGGACAGCCCAAGCACUGUUGUCUGAGCUAACGAGAAGGUCAGGGGUCCAGCAUCACUUGAGAUAAAUUACUGAAGGAGAGCAACUGGCCCGGAGCGUGGCUGGAUUUCUUGAAAAGGAACUCACCACUGUGUGUGACUCACAGAAGAGGUUUCCUCACAGGAACACACGCGUUCACACAAGCUCUCGUCACGGUAGCCUCGUUUCUGUCUGGCUGUGGGUGAUUUUUGGUUUGUUUGUUUGUCUUAUUGGCUUAAUUAAAAAUAAUAUAAUCAUUGGGAACAAGCAAAAGAAACUUAUUCUAAGCACUACCAUUUCUUUUUCAGACCCCAUUUAAUCACAGGAAGAAACUAAAUUCAAGGUCCCAGGCCCUAGGGGAGCUGGGGACUUCCCAAUAGCUGAACAGCUUCUGUUGUAAGGAGACAGUUGUCCGAGUCUAGACAUCUUAAGGACAACUUGUAAGGAGACAGUUGUCUGAGUCCAAUCAUCUCAGGGACAACUUCUCCAUCUUGCUGGCAGGGUCAAACUAGUUCAUGUUCCCAGGCCCAGGAACCAGCUCCUCUCCUGAUUGAUGGAAACUCCCUUGCUCAACCUCUUAUGUCAGAUUAUGACAGGACAAUGCUACAGCCCACCCUGCUCCUCCUCGCUUUAUGGUUUCCUCCUUUAAAUAUGCUGUGCAACAUCCUUCAGGGUUGCAGUUCAGCUCCUGAGUCUGUUCUGUGGCCCUGGUCCACCAGUGGCGUCUUGAUUACCAUACAUGUUUGUCAUCUGCAUUGACCCGGUGUUUGAGUCAUGUUGGAUUUAAGCGAAUCCCAUAACACUGCUAAUCUCCAGUCUCUGGAUGUGGGGAUCUGUUUUGUGGGUCUUUUCCAGAAUACUCUAUGGAAAGACUCACCCAUCGCAGAACCUGUCAGAUCUGUUUUCUCUCACCUAGCAGACUGCCUUGGGAUGUAUCCGUGCUGUUGAAUGUGUGGGGUUUGCUCCUUUUUCAUUGCUGACUGAUACUCCAUUGCUUAUCUGUUCACUUGUCGAAGGGCAUGUAAGGUUCCUUCUGAAGUGUGACAGACAUUUCUGUGGGACAUUUAUGUGGUAUGUGUUUAUCUCCUUUAGGUACAUAUCUAGGCAUGAGUUUCCUGAGUCCUGGGCUCCAUGUUUUCUUACCAUUGCCAGAAAUUCACAAAAGGCACUGUGCUGCAAUCCAACUGGGAGUUUGUGAGAAUUCCAUCUGUCCCACAUGCUUGGAUUCAUCAUGGCCAGAUUUUGAGAAACAUGUUUAACAAUUUCAAAGGGGCCGUGGAGCCUUUCUUAGUUUUGUGCUUCUGAAAGAUCAUGGACGCUGGCCUUGUCACCUAGCUUUUUUUCUGCACCAAUGGUGCUGAUCUUUAUUUCUGUAUUAUCUUCUAGAAAGCGUGUAACUUGAGGAUUUCUAUUUACUUUCAUGUCUAUGACCCUUUUGAAUUUAUCUGUGGAUAUAAUAUCUAUCUAGGUCCUCUCUCUUCCAUAACACCCCUCACAAACACACAGAGGAAUAGUUUAUGAUGACCUCUGACCUACAACCCCUUUCCUUUCCUUCCCUUCCCUUUCUUCUCCCUUUCCCUCCUGCCCCUUCCCCUUCCUUCCAUAGGAAGGUUUGAACCCUGAAAAUGAUUUUGUGUUUCUGACCAAGCUUGCUUUGUAAAUCAUGCUAGCAUCUCUAGUCUAAAUACCAGCAGUGGAGACAGCUUGUGUGAUUAACCUCUCCCAUAGGAAGGAGGGGGAAGGGACAGGAGGGAAAGGGAGAAACCAAUUGUUUCAGUCCCAUUGGUGGAAAGGCAAUCCUUCUCUAUUAUAGACUCCAUGUCUUGUCAAGUGAACAGCUAAUCUUUCCUGGUCUCUGUUGGGGCUCUUUGAGAGGGCUGUUUCUCGCAUCUCCUUCAAUGUUCUGUCUUCCACAGGAAGUCUUCCUAUAGGGUGAGGAGUGGCUCAUGUGUGGACAGGGCUGCUCAGCACCUGACUGGGCAAAAGAAAAGCAGUUUUGUCCUGCCGAGAUGAGGACUAACUUCUCUGUUGUUUGCAGUACAUCUUCUGUGUCUAGGAUGUCUUGAUCUUGAAGAAGUGCAGGUAGGGUUCUCUGAGCAGGGCUGUGAAGAGUAAUGAGGGCCCUGUCUGGGGGAAGGCUCAUGGGGGAAGCCUCAUGAGCAUCUAGGUAGGUAUUCGUAUAACUCCUGUUUUACUUUGUAAGGAAGACAGGCUAGGGGAAUGGAGGUAGUUAUGAGAACAAGCAUGCUAACAGACUUAAAUUCUGUGGCUUAUGCAUGUGUGUGUGUGUGUAUGUGUGUGUGUGUGUGUGUGUGUGUGUGUGUGUGUGUAAAUAAUGUGUAUAUCGAGGCCAGAGAAUGAUCUCAGCUGUUGUUCCUCCUUCAAGCAGGCAGACAUAUCCCCCCAGCCCUGCCAUCAAUCCUGGCUUUUCUGUGAGUUCUGGGGAUCAGACUUCAAUCUUAGAUCCCAAUGCUUACAAGUCAAGAACCUUACCAAAUGGGUUGUCUCUGGAGCUGAGUUUCUUGAUGGAGAGCUCGAUCUUGGGUAGGCUAAGAUGCUGCUCCCAUCUGUCUGCACCAGCCGCUCUCUCCUAUUGCUUACUUCCUGCUGUGGGGUCAGACACAACUCAACAGAGCAUGUACUUAGCAUACAAGUCCCCAUUGCAUUCCUUCUUAUGAACACGAUUGUUUUCCCGUUCUGGAAUGUGUCUCUGUAUCUCAGAGACGCUUUCUACCAUGCCACUCAUUUCUGAUUUUUCAUGGCCUUAAAGCCGCCAUCUGGAGCAAGGCUGGGAAGGGCGCUGCGAGAUCCCUCUGCAGGCUUUGGCCUCAGGCCUGCCACCCAGGGCCACGGAAGCAAUUCCAUCUUUCUCAGAAAGCUUCUUGGAGCCGUCUCCCCAUCUUUGGCAGCUUGACCUUUUGUGCAGGCCCAGCUUUUCCUCCAGGGAAUCUACCCCCUGUUGAUGGACAGUCACCCUUAGAACACUGGGGAAGGUUUGAACCCUGAAAAUGAUUUUGUGUUUCUGACCAAGCUUGCUUUGUAAAUCAUGCUAGCAUCUCUAGUCUAAAUACCAGCAGUGGAGACAGCUUGUGAUUAACCUCUCCCCUCCAAGAAGCAGCCAGCACCAAUGAUUCUUCCUUCUAGAACACUGUAACCAGUUUUUAAUAAAGCCAAAAGACUUCUGCCCAGAGUCCUCUGGUCAUCUGUUUUCCUUAAUGGCCUUUUAUGAGGGACCUUAUCAAAAGCUUGCAAAAGAAUCUAAGUAAAUUAUGUUCCUCCGUUCACCUUUACCUACUGUUUCAUUAACUUUUUCAAAAACAAUAUGACAUAGUUUUCAACAUAAUUAAAGGGGUUGGAAAGGGAGCUUUAAGUACCGUUUGACAGUUUGCGAUGCUGCCCUGGAGAGCCAGGUCACCGCUCAGCUCACAUUCUGCCUCUGCUCUGGGACACUAAUUCAUUUCCCAGGCUGUCUGGUGAGGUCAGCCACAGGUUCAAGGUGGAAAUGACAAGGUUUCAAGCUUUCAAGUGUGUAGCACUUAGCUCUCCAGACGGUCCAAAGGAAGGAAGCAGCUAGUUUAUCCAGGUCUGGCCCAGAAAAAGGAAACUGGGGGAAGAACUGGGUGGAAGGGAGAGGGCGGUGUCCCCACCAAGGGGAAAAUCCUGGGCAGGUUUGCAGACAUUCCCAAGUGCUCUC